AUUGAACGCUGGCGGCAGGCUUAACACAUGCAAGUCGAGCGGUAGCACAGGGGAUCUUGCUCCCUGUGUGACGAGCGGCGGACGGGUGAGUAAUGUCUGGGAAACUGCCUGCUGGAGGGGGAUAACUACUGGAAACGGUAGCUACUACCGCAUAACGUCGCAAGACCAAAGAGGGGGACCGUCGGGCCUCUUGCCAUCAGCUGUGCCCAGAUGGGAUUAGCUAGUAGGUGGGGUCAUGGCUCACCUAGGCGACGAGCCCUAGCUGGUCGGAGAGGAUGACCAGCCACGCGGGAACUGAGACACGGUCCAGAACCCUGAGGGAGGCAGCAGUGGGGAAUGAGGCACAAGGGGCGCAAGCCUGAUGAAGCGAGGCCGCGUGUUGGAGGAAGGCCGUGGGGGUGUAAAGCACCUUCAGGGAGGAGGAAGGUGGUGAUCGUAAUAAGGUCAUCAAUUGACGUUACUCGCAGAAGAAGCACCGGCUAACUACGUG
rnacentral:rRNA from 1 species